GUCUAGCCCCGAUUGCAGUGGAAAUCCUUUUUUGAAAAAAAAGAUUGCAACGAAAAGCGGGAAACAGC
rnacentral:sRNA from 1 species